UAUUAAUAAUAAUAAUAAUAAUAAUAAUGAUAAUAACGAUAAUGAUAAUAGUCGUAAGAAACCGAACAUCGAACGCGCCUCCGUGUUGCGUACGCGACGCAGCCGUGUGCGGACGAUCGUGUGCGCCUGCUAGCGAGCCGGUCGUACGUAUUAUUGUUAUUAUUAUUAUUAUUGUUAUUAUUGUUA